UGUAGCAAGGUUAACCGAAUAGGGGAGCCGGAGGGAAACCGAGUCUUAACCGGGCGUUAAGUUGCAGGGUAUAGACCCGAAACCCGGUGAUCUAGCCAUGGGCAGGUUGAAGGUUGGGUAACACUAACUGGAGGACCGAACCGACUAAUGUUGAAAAAUUAGCGGAUGACCUGUGGCUGGGGGUGAAAGGCCAAUCAAACCGGGAGAUAGCUGGUUCUCCCCGAAAGCUAUUUAGGUAGCGCCUCGUGAAUUCAUCUCCGGGGGUAGAGCACUGUUUCGGCUAGGGGGCCAUCCCGGCUUACCAACCCGAUGCAAACUGCGAAUACCGGAGAAUGUUAUCACGGGAGACACACGGCGGGUGCUAACGUCCGUCGUGAAGAGGGAAACAACCCAGACCGCCAGCUAAGGUCCCAAAGUCAUGGUUAAGUGGGAAACGAUGUGGGAAGGCCCAGACAGCCAGGAUGUUGGCUUAGAAGCAGCCAUCAUUUAAAGAAAGCGUAAUAGCUCACUGGUCGAGUCGGCCUGCGCGGAAGAUGUAACGGGGCUAAACCAUGCACCGAAGCUGCGGCAGCGACGCUGAUGCGUUGUUGGGUAGGGGAGCGUUCUGUAAGCCUGCGAAGGUGUGUCGUGAGGCAUGCUGGAGGUAUCAGAAGUGCGAAUGCUGACAUAAGUAACGAUAAAGCGGGUGAAAAGCCCGCUCGCCGGAAGACCAAGGGUUCCUGUCCAACGUUAAUCGGGGCAGGGUGAGUCGACCCCUAAGGCGAGGCCGAAAGGCGUAGUCGAUGGGAAACGGGUUAAUAUUCCCGUACUUGGUGUUACUGCGAAGGGGGGACGGAGAAGGCUAUGUUGGCCGGGCGACGGUUGUCCCGGUUUAAGCGUGUAGGUGUGUGUUCCAGGUAAAUCCGGUUCACUUUAACACUGAGGCGUGAUGACGAGGCACUACGGUGCUGAAGCAACAAAUGCCCUGCUUCCAGGAAAAGCCUCUAAGCAUCAGGUAACAUCAAAUCGUACCCCAAACCGACACAGGUGGUCAGGUAGAGAAUACCAAGGCGCUUGAGAGAACUCGGGUGAAGGAACUAGGCAAAAUGGUGCCGUAACUUCGGGAGAAGGCACGCUGACACGUAGGUGAAGUGAUUUACUCAUGGAGCUGAAGUCAGUCGAAGAUACCAGCUGGCUGCAACUGUUUAUUAAAAACACAGCACUGUGCAAACACGAAAGUGGACGUAUACGGUGUGACGCCUGCCCGGUGCCGGAAGGUUAAUUGAUGGGGUCAGCGCAAGCGAAGCUCCUGAUCGAAGCCCCGGUAAACGGCGGCCGUAACUAUAACGGUCCUAAGGUAGCGAAAUUCCUUGUCGGGUAAGUUCCGACCUGCACGAAUGGCGUAAUGAUGGCCAGGCUGUCUCCACCCGAGACUCAGUGAAAUUGAACUCGCUGUGAAGAUGCAGUGUACCCGCGGCAAGACGGAAAGACCCCGUGAACCUUUACUAUAGCUUGACACUGAACAUUGAGCCUUGAUGUGUAGGAUAGGUGGGAGGCUUUGAAGUGUGGACGCCAGUCUGCAUGGAGCCGGCCUUGAAAUACCACCCUUUAAUGUUUGAUGUUCUAACGUGGACCCGUGAUCCGGGUUGCGGACAGUGUCUGGUGGGUAGUUUGACUGGGGCGGUCUCCUCCUAAAGAGUAACGGAGGAGCACGAAGGUUGGCUAAUCCUGGUCGGACAUCAGGAGGUUAGUGCAAUGGCAUAAGCCAGCUUGACUGCGAGCGUGACGGCGCGAGCAGGUGCGAAAGCAGGUCAUAGUGAUCCGGUGGUUCUGAAUGGAAGGGCCAUCGCUCAACGGAUAAAAGGUACUCCGGGGAUAACAGGCUGAUACCGCCCAAGAGUUCAUAUCGACGGCGGUGUUUGGCACCUCGAUGUCGGCUCAUCACAUCCUGGGGCUGAAGUAGGUCCCAAGGGUAUGGCUGUUCGCCAUUUAAAGUGGUACGCGAGCUGGGUUUAGAACGUCGUGAGACAGUUCGGUCCCUAUCUGCCGUGGGCGCUGGAGAACUGAGGGGGGCUGCUCCUAGUACGAGAGGACCGGAGUGGACGCAUCACUGGUGUUCGGGUUGUCAUGCCAAUGGCACUGCCCGGUAGCUAAAUGCGGAAGAGAUAAGUGCUGAAAGCAUCUAAGCACGAAACUUGCCCCGAGAUGAGUUCUCCCUGAGACUUAGAGUCUCCUGAAGGAACGUUGAAGACGACGACGUUGAUAGGCCGGGUGUGUAAGCGCAGCGAUGCGUUGAGCUAACCGGUACUAAUGAACCGUGAGGCUUAACCUUACAACGCCGAAG
rnacentral:rRNA from 1 species